rnacentral:rRNA from 1 species
CUACGGGAGGCAGCAGUGGGGAAUAUUGCACAAUGGGGGAAACCCUGAUGCAGCGACGCCGCGUGAGCGAAGAAGGCUUUCGAGUCGUAAAGCUCUGUCCUAUGGGAAGAUAAUGACGGUACCAUAGGAGGAAGCCCCGGCUAACUACGUGCCAGCAGCCGCGGUAAUACGUAGGGGGCGAGCGUUGUCCGGAAUCACUGGGCGUAAAGGGUUCGCAGGCGGUUUAGAAAGUCAGAUGUGAAAGGCAAGGGCUCAACCCUUGUAAGCAUUUGAAACUAAUAAACUUGAGUAGUGAAGAGGUAAGUGGAAUUCCUAGUGUAGCGGUGAAAUGCGUAGAUAUUAGGAGGAAUACCGGUGGCGAAGGCGACUUACUGGUCACAAACUGACGCUGAGGAACGAAAGCGUGGGUAGCAAACAGGAUUAGAUACCCUGGUAGUCCACGCCGUAAACGAUGAGUGCUAGGUGUCGGAGAAUUUCGGUGCCGCAGUUAACACAAUAAGCACUCCGCCUGGGGAGUACGUGCGCAAGCAUGAAACUCAAAGGAAUUGACGGGGACCCGCACAAGCAGCGGAGCAUGUGGUUUAAUUCGAAGCAACGCGAAGAACCUUACCAGGGCUUGACAUAAUAUUGACCGCUCUAGAGAUAAAGCUUUCCCUUCGGGGACAGUAUUACAGGUGGUGCAUGGUUGUCGUCAGCUCGUGUCGUGAGAUGUUGGGUUAAGUCCCGCAACGAGCGCAACCCUUACCUUUAGUUGCCAGCAUGUAAAGAUGGGAACUCUAAAGGGACUGCCGAUGAUAAAUCGGAGGAAGGUGGGGAUGACGUCAAAUCAUCAUGCCCUUUAUGUCCUGGGCUACACACGUGCUACAAUGGUCGGAACAAAGAGCGGGCGAGCUAGUGAUAGUAAGCGAAUCUCAAAAAGCCGAUCUCAGUUCGGAUUGUUCU